GGCAUAAUUAUUUCUAAAAUUUGUUUGACGCCAAAGAUCAGAAUGAAUUUAUAUAUAUAUGAAAUUGAGCUUCAUGACAUUGAUACUCAAAAAAGUCAUGAUUAUGUGACCAAAGAUGGGUAGUAACGACAUCACUGAGCUGACGGAAAAAUAUAGAAAGAACUCCGGAAAAUCUUAUGGAAGUGUGUUCUGUACCGCAGCAAGAAGUUGCAGAGGAGAUUUGAUCUGGAAAGAAAAAAAUAAUAGCUUCAACAGAGCUGCAGCCUUCCAGUGAAAUAAGGGAGACGCAGAAAGCUACUGUCUUAUCGCCCUGAUAAGGUAGUAGCUUUACACACUAAUUAAUUCUAUGGAUAAUGCUGUGCUUCAUUUUCGCCAAAUUUCGAAGCGUAUCCUAAGACAAUUGUCUUUAGACAGUUUUCUUGUAAAAAAAGUUAUGCAUUAAAAAUAGUAAUUUAUA